CUCCUUUAUAUGCCGUCUUUGCUUCUAUAUAGGGGAACUUUGUAGCACAAGCCUUUGUGUCUUUGUUUGUUGGGAAAGACGUUUUUUUGAGCCCUCAGUAUUUAUGUCAUUUUAAUCUGUAUCUUUUCAGUCCAUCAUUUGGCUCCAUAAAAUUUUGGAUUAAUCUUUGCAUCGUCACAACGGAUGAAACUGAGUUGCAAUUUGCAGCCCUGCAACAAUGGCUGACUGCAUUCCAGAUAACACCACCAGCGUUAUCCAGAAUCCCAAGGCUGACCUACAGGAUGGUACCAAAGUUUCACCUGAGUCCCCAUCAGCAGCUGUGAUCAAAGUGAGACCUGCAGACCUGGAACUGAUUCGAAACUUGUCAAAGUCAGACUCUGACCUGUUGGCGUCUCCGGUCGGAGAGGAGGACGGAGGUCUGGGAAACCGCAGUGGCUCUGUGGCUAACUGCAGUUCUGGGCAGCCGUCCAUCGAGCGCAUGCCUUCCUUUGCAUCUGAGUGGGAUGAGAUUGAGAAGAUCAUGACGUUGAUUGGGGCUGGCAUUGAAACAACAAAGAACCAGCAUCCCAAGCCAAGCCCAGAUGGGGCCUGUGGUAAAGCCCUGGACCAGCCGGUCGGAGAGUGGCUGGAGCACGUGGGGCUGCCGCAGUACGAGAGCAAGUUCCUGCUCAAUGGCUUUGAUGACCUACGAUUCAUGGGAAGUAACGUGAUGGAGGACCAAGAUUUAAGAGACAUGGGGAUCACUGACCCAGGGCACAGGAAGAAAAUCCUCCAUGCAGCACGUGGCUUGCCCAAGGUGAAACCACUGGGUUGUGAUGGCAGCACAUCUUUAUCCUCUUGGUUGGACGUCCUUGGCCUGCAUGAGUAUCUUCCCAACUUUCUCUCUAAUGGCUACCGAACCCUGGAGUGUGUGAAGAACUUGUGGGAGCUGGAAAUUGUCAAUGUUAUUAAGGUCGGGCCCUUAGGCCACAGGAAGAGGAUCAUUGCAUCUCUAGCAGAGAGACCCUAUGAAGAAGCUCCCUCUAAAUCCCGUCGGCUGUCCCCAAUUAUGUUCCAUGACCUCCUAUCCCAGACCACUUCGCCCCUCAGUCAGUUGGACCCCUACACCAGUCGCUCCAUGGACAUGCUCCUCCCCCUGACCGAGUCGGACCGGAGGCGAAGAGCAAUCGAUCAAGACUGCAGCAUUUCGCUGCGAUCCUACAAUGAGAGGCCGCGUUCUGUAGACAGACACAGUGAACGACAUAAAGAGUCUCGAUUAAACCUCCGGCCGCCGAGCCACUCUGCCACAUACGCCACCGUGUCCGCCUGGCAUCACCAGCCUGAGAAGCUCAUCCUGGACUCCUGCAGGUACGAGGCAACAUAUUUAGGAUCAUUGAUAAUCAGGGAUUUACGGGGGAUUGAGUCCACACAAGAUGCCUGUGCUAAAAUUAGGAAAUCAAAGGAUUCCAAAAAGGGCCCAGUUGUCAUACUGUCCAUCACCUACAGAGGUGUCAAGUUCAUUGAUGCUGCCACUAAGAUGAUAGUUGCAGAGCAUGAAAUCAGAAACAUCUCGUGUGCCGCCCAGGACCCGGAUGACCUCUGUACCUUUGCUUACAUCACUAAGGACUCUAAGAGUGGCCACCACUUCUGUCACGUCUUCAGUACUGUGGAAGUCAUCCAAACAUAUGAGAUCAUCUUAACACUGGGACAGGCAUUUGAGGUGGCUUAUCAGAUGGCAGUUCAGUCCAGGGCGAGACACUAUGUGCCUCCAACAUCUCUGGGCUCAGAGUUCAUAGAAACCAAAACCAGCCGCCCAGUGUCUCAGUCGUGGAACAGCACGAGAAGAUCAGCGAUCGACCCCCUGGAGAUGGAUGCCGACAUGCAGUCGCUGGGCAGCACCACCUGGCUUUGUGACCAGCGGGACUCCAACAGGCGUCCCGUCAGCACCAAGUACGAGACCACCAUAUUCUGAGGCCGGACUCUCUCCCCGCCCAGCUCCCUGCCACCCCCACGGCCCCCAUCCCCCGCUUCUCACUGCACCUCCCUCGUACUUUUUUCCUCUACCCUUGCAUCCGGUUCUCCGGUCUUCUCUUUCUCUCACGGAGAAACACACAAACACACACACACUCACAGAGAUAUAUACAUGUGAGCCCCGUGCCUUCUCACUGUGAUGGUAUAGCAUCCCUCAGGGCUGCCUCCUCCUGCACCUUCCUUUGCCCCGCCCAGCGACCCACGCCGACCUCCUACAUGCCAUGACAAACGCUCCUGCGGCUCCCCCUCGAGCUCCCACAACAUCCCUGGCAGCCCCUCCUUUGCCUGUUGCUGCUGCAGCUAAUGGUGGAGCCCUGGAACAGAUGAUCCUGGACUGAUCUCAUUUUACAGUGGCCCUGCUCUCUCAACCAAACUGCCUCUUCCUCCUCAUCCUCCUCUUCUUGACAACUUGCAUCUGCCUCCAAUUCCCCGAUAGCUCCCAGAGGUUGCAUCUUUAUUCUUUUUCUUCUUUCAAGACAUUUUUUUUUGGUUUUCUCCACAGGCAAAACAACCUGUCCUGUCUUACCAGGCAUCUACCACUGUGAGGCACUAUGAGGAGGCUGCUUUGCUAGCAUGGGAUGCAAGAUGGACAAAUAACAUAUAUAUAUAUAUAAAUAUAUAUAAGUGAAAGACAAAAACAGCAACAUGCAGCAAACAACCUGUAUUUUUUUACUCAUUUGUACAGUACUCAUAGUAAGACCACAUAUGGAUUGGUCACAAAUCUAUCACUGAUGUCUGAACUCAAAGCGGACUGAGAACUGAAACCUCCUUACACAAUAUUGCAGUAACUAUAAUUAACUAAAAAAAUCCCACCUGAUCCCCUAUCCUGCCAAACUCCAGCACCCAACAGCUGCACGCCUACAAACAGUUUUUAACAAACAGAAAGGAGAAGAAAAAAAAGCUACAUUUUGGAUUUCCUGCUGUAUCUAACUGUGACUGGCUGGGAAGAUGCGUAGAUGAUGGUGCAGGUUUGUUGAGAUGAGUCUGGCCUUGUACUGCCCAGUGCCUGUCAGCAUUAAUGGUAGCACUGAGAGCCUGCAAAUCUUCUUCAUUUAAAAAGCAAAACUAAAAGCACUGUGUUUAAAACAAAAAAACAGCACUAUCCCUUUUAAAACUUUGUCUUCUUACAGUGCAAGUGUAGUAUUAGUGCAUUUUGUGAUACUUUUUUAAAGAUGGGAGGUAAUUGAAAACAGAUUAUAAGUAUCUCGACAGAGGUAACAACAUAAAGAGAAGACAAUGAAAAAGAAGAAAAAAUCAAAAGUAAGCAUAUUUAGGAUGUUGGCAGUAGUACAAAGCUUUACUUAUUUUUGUAAUCUACAAUCAAAGAUCAGUUCAUUGAAGAAAUAGUUUAGGACUUUUGAAAUGAUGAUAUGAUAAAAAGAAAAAAGACAUUAAUAUCUUACCUGCAGUAAAAAAGUCUUUUGGUGUCUUCAUUCAUACAAACAAAAAAUGGUCAUGUCCUGAAGGCUGAAGUUAAAAAGUAAUAUGAGAGGGGUAAUUACCAAAACUGAAAAAUGUUGUUGUUUUACGUACUUCUCUGAUAUCACUUUUCUGGUUGACAGUUAUUUAGAUUGAAACUGAUGAGUAUUUACAUAGAGAAUUGGGUCAAAGGAGAUGUGCCAUCAAUGGCCUUCCUGUGUGAAGCACAUGCAUCCAUUUAUCAUCUGUACUUGCUUCACCCUUGCCAAUGUGCGAUGGGUUGGGAUGGUAUUGGUGCAGACUUCCAGCAGUAUUUCGGUGAGAGGCCUGGUGCUCUUUGCAUGUGCUACAUUUCUGGUCUUAUAAUGUAGGUUGGACAAGCAAAUCCCUCUUUUUUAGUGCUAAGUUUGCACUUUUCUGGCACGAUGUAAUGAUGCUGUUCGCUCUCCCCAACGUUUAGCUCUCAGACAAAAAUAGAGGCUCUUCUCUAACAUUUUUUUAUUGUUACUUCAAGACCAGAACCAAAAAAAUCUAAUUAAUUCAUUCUGAACUUAAUGAAGUUAUCCUUAAAUUUCAGUUCAUGCAUUCUGACAUGUUUGCAUAACUUACUGAAUUUUGUUUUAAGCUUUGACUUCAAGACCAGGUUUUGUUUAGUCUAAAGCUAUCCACAGAUUUGAAAUCAAGCAUAUUACUCUUUGGAAGCUCUGGGCAGAAACACUUUACAGGUUCUGCUCUCUGUACAUUUUUAGUAAAAAUCAUUACGUAAAUAAUCCUCAAUUUCUAUGUAAAUAAUUUUCAAGUGCUGUGUCAAUGGUUGAAAGGUUUAUAAAAUAGCGUUCUCACAUAAAUUAACUUAUUUUUAGAAAAACAAUGCAGAUCAAAAAUUAUUAUUUUUUACAAACUUUAGCUUUAUAUGAGACCAUUACUAUGACUAUUUCCAUGGUCCAUUUUCAAUUGCUGUUACAUUCAGGAAGUUAUUGUUGUUGCACCUCCUCAUAUGUCUAUUUAGAGAGUAAAAAAUCAAAAGUUUCUAUUUAUAUAAUCUCCAAACACAAGCAUUUAUUUUGUCUAAAAGUUCUUAAAAAGACUUUGCAAAAUUGCUGUGACAUAUUAGAGAUUGUUUUUUUUUUAAGAUGGUAGAAGUCCACUUAGUGUUUUUAGCUGUAACUUUCAGCCUCCAGGACUAACCAAGAUGUUUCCUGUUAACAACCUUCUAACAUAACCUCGCUUCAAAAAUCCUGAGCUGUCUCUUUAACACUAAUAUAUUUAUGAGCCUCCGGCAAAGAUUGAUGCACAUUUCCCUUCAUGGUAAGCUUAUUAUACAUGAUUACACGUAGCUUUCUAUUUAACUCCAUUUCCAAAUUUGGUACAGUACAAGUAAAGUAUGUCACUUCACGUAACUGAGAGUGUUCUGUUUUUUCCGUCUAGUUAAUGCAAAUAGUAUGUAAAGCUGGAAACAACACAUGGUUAUGUUUUAAACCAAGUAUUUUCCUCCUGCACUGUGAUUGAAAAAAGAAAAAAAGAGAUGCUGAUUGUGACGAUGAGACAUGACUGGGUGCCCCCUCCUGUGCACUGCCAACCGUGUGUGCUGUUCGCUUUGUUUCUGUCUGUCCUUGUGGACGUUUGGACUGCUACAUCGCUGGCCGCUGUCCUUGUUUCUGUGUGCCGCAGGAGGAUUGAGAGAGUUCUUCUCCAAAGACAGUGUGUCUGGAGACUGUAUAGAUGUAGCUGCUGUCUGUGCGGCACUGUGGUUGUGUCAUUGCCACUUUGUUCUGACUUUUAUCUGUUAGCUUCCACUGAUGAUGCAUGUUUGGCAGUGUCUUUGUGUUUUGUCCCCUCUGAUGCAUUUGGCCUGAGCAGUCUCUGUAUGUACUGUACUGUAGCAGCGUCUCGUCUCCGCUCUUUCAUCUGCCAUAUGUCUUUUAUGUUCCCACUCUCUGUUUACAUGCUAAUUCAUCACCCAUCCCUCCGUUUCCAGCCUUCUCACCAUUUUUGUCACUCGUCCCCUCCAUUUUGUGUGUCUCCAGGACAACCUGCUCUCGUAUGGCUGCACACUAUAAAAGAAAAAAAAAAAGCAUUACACUUUAAUGAAGAGCAGCUAUUUAAAGCGAGAAUUGGUAGCAUGAUGUGGCUGUGCAUGUACCUGUCCUCUUUUUAACAUUCGUAUUCUCCCUGUGUAGCUCGCUCCAACGUUCAAGUUUCCGGACACCAAGCUGUGAGUUGAAGGGGAGCAGCUGAUGCGAGUGUGUUUGCGUGUGUUGAAUUAGUGCACAAA